UACGAAGGGGGCUAGCGUUGCUCGGAAUCACUGGGCGUAAAGGGUGCGUAGGCGGGUCUUUAAGUCAGGGGUGAAAUCCUGGAGCUCAACUCCAGAACUGCCUUUGAUACUGAGGAUCUUGAGUUCGGGAGAGGUGAGUGGAACUGCGAGUGUAGAGGUGAAAUUCGUAGAUAUUCGCAAGAACACCCGUGGCGAAAGCGGCGCGCUGGACCACUACUGACGCUGAGGAGCGAAAGCGUGGGGAGCAACAGGG
rnacentral:rRNA from 1 species